AUACGUAGGGGGCAAGCGUUGUCCGGAUUUACUGGGUGUAAAGGGCGCGUAGGCGGGCUUGUUAGUCGAUGGUGAAAUCCUGCAGCUUAACUGCAGAACUGCCGUCGAUACUGCAAGUCUUGAGUUCGGAAGAGAGUAGCGGAAUUCCAGGUGUAGUAGUGAAAUACGUAGAUAUCUGGAAGAACACCAGUGGCGAAGGCGGCUACUUGGUCCGUAUCUGACGCUGAGGCGCGAAAGCGUGGGGAGC
rnacentral:rRNA from 1 species